AAUCUCUUAGCGAGGAACAAUUGGAGGGCAAGUCAGGUGCCAGCAGCCGCGGUAAUUCCUGCUCCAAUAGCGUAUAUUAAAGUUGUUGCAGUUAAAAAGCUCGUAGUUGAACUUCUGCCGAUUUUAGAUGGUUCUACCAGCUAAAAUGGGCAUACGUUUGCAAACUAAGACCGGCCUUCACUGGUGCGACUUAGGGAGUAAACAUUUUACUGUGAAAAAAUUAGAGUGUUUCAGGCAGGUUUUAGCCCGGAUACAUCAGCAUGGAAUAAUGGAAUAGGACUAGGUCCAUUUUAUUGGUUAUUGGAUUUGGUAAUGAUUAAUAGGGACAGUUGGGGGCAUUAGUAUUUAAUAGUCAGAGGUGAAAUUCUUGGAUUUAUUAAGGACUAACUAAUGCGAAAGCAUUUGCCAAAGAUGUUUUCAUUAAUCAAGAACGAAAGUUAGGGGAUCAAAGACGAUCAGAUACCGUCGUAGUCUUAACUAUAAACUAUACCGACUCGGGAUCGGCUGGAAUAUAAUGUCCAGUCGGCACCGUAUGAGAAAUCAAAGUCUUUGGGUUCUGGGGGAAGUAUGGUCGCAAGGCUGAAACUUAAAGGAAUUGACGGAACAGCACACCAGAAGUGGAACCUGCGGCUUAAUUUGACCCAACACGGGGAAACUCACGAGCGCAAGACAGAGAAGGGAUUGACAGAUUGAGAGCUCUUUCUUGAUUCUUUGGAUGGUGGAGCACGGCCGUUCUUAGUUGGUGGAGUGAUUUGUCUGGUUAAUUCCGUUAACGAACGAGACCUUAACCUGCUAACUAGUCAGACUGUGAACAACGGUUUGUACUUCUUAGAGGGACUAUUGGUAUUUAAGCCAAUGGAAGUUUAAGGCAAUAACAGGUCUGUGAUGCCCCUAGACGUGCUCGGCCGCACGCGCGUUACAAUGGCUGGCUCAAAAAGUAUUUCCUGGCCUGGAAAGGUUCGGGUAAUCUUAUUAAUACCAGUCGUGUUAGGGAUAGUUCUUUGAAACUAUAGAUCUUGAACGAGGAAUUUCUAGUAAGUGCAAGUCAUCAGCUUGCGUUGAUUAUGUCCCUGCCGUUUGUACACACCGCCCGUCGCUUGUAGUAACGAAUGGUCCGGUGAACCUUCUGGACUGAGAUCGCAAGGUUUCGGGAAGUUAAGUAAACCCUACCAUUU
rnacentral:rRNA from 1 species